rnacentral:misc_RNA from 1 species
GAUGAAGAACGUAGCGAAAUGCGAUAAGUAAUGUGAAUUGCAGAAUUCAGUGAAUCAUCGAAUCUUUGAACGCACAUUGCGCCCCUUGGUAUUCCGGGGGGCAUGCCUGUCCGAGCGUCAUUACAACCCUCAAGCUCAGCUUGGUAUUGGGCCCCGCCGACCCGGCGGGCCCUAAAGUCAGUGGCGGUGCCGUCCGGCUCCGAGCGUAGUAAUUCUUCUCGCUCUGGAGGUCCGGUCGUGUGCUCGCCAGCAACCCCCAAUUUUUUUCAGGUUGACCUCGGAUCAGGUAGGGAUACCCGCUGAACUUAAGCAUAUCAAUAAGCGGAGGA